AAUAGGGAGACGGAGGAAGAACGUAAAAUGAGGAAAAAGGCAGAUAUGCUAGCGGUAGCUAUCUUAAGUGAAGAAAGACAGGGAAGUGAAUAGAGGAGACGAGAAUAGGCUGAGCAAGGGACCUUUAAGUAGGAAUUAAUGUGCGUAUUGUAGAAAGGAGGAACAUUGGAAGAGUGAGUGUCCACAGAGAGAGCAGUAUGAAGGUGAUAGACAAGGAGAGAGAAGGGUACGAGGAGGUUAUAGUGGUAGUUAUAGAG